AAGUACAUAAUUAUACACAUCAAAAGGGAACAAAAGUGAAAAUUUCUUUCUGUUGUGAUGAUUUCAGGAUGACAAACCCUAACACUGUCCAAGAGACUUCAGUAAAACGUUGGCAUGAACAGGAACCGGAUCAGAACUAAAAUACAGAUUUAUCAUUUUUUUCCCCCACUUUUGCUUGGACCAAAAGAACCAAACUACAGGUGUGAAAACAUUCUUAUCACAGGUACAGUACGUCCCCUUAUCGGUCCAACAACAUCGGCCAGUCUUCUCAUGCUUAAAGUGGCCUCCCGUUAUUUUAUGUUCUGUUGGUGCAUUGAAAUUUCUCCAUGUCAAUAAACACCCAUAUCACUGCUGCUCAUUUCUUUGCAGUUUAACCUGAAGCAAGGAGUGUUCAUUUUGUGGAGGAUAAUUACGGUCGCAGAGGCGUCUGAAGAAAGAGGACUCCGGAUGUCAUUUUCAUCUGGAUGGCAGCCCUGACAGUCUUCUACUUCUCCCCGUCUCACAUAAUCUCCAUCUCUCUGCUCAUCCCACAUCCUAACUACUCUGCAAUCAAAACUGUCAGUCACACUUAAGGCUCUAAAUACCUUGCAAUUCCCCAAUCAGACACACCGGUUUUUGGUUUAACCUCGAACGGGCUCCAGCCUCUCCUGCAGCCCCAUCUGUCCAUCACGCCUCGGCUAUAGACAAACUCAUCAUCGUGUGGUGAUGACCUCUUAUUCAUCAAUGAACUGCAGCAAAUAGCUCAAAGUGAUGUGACCUUGACAACACAGCGGUGUUAAUUAAAUAGUGGGUCAGUGGGUCGACCUCUUUGGUCCAGAUAUAAACAUCUCAACAACUAUUGGGUGGAAGAAAGAAUGAAGUUUUGUGGAGAAGUUCGAUCCAGCCAGAGAGCAAAUCCUACAGUCUUCUGUUGUCUACUGCCACCAACAGGACUGAGCACGCUGCUGAAACUGGCCAUGCAGACGUCAACUUCCUCUCCUGACCGGAGCAGGUUCGUGAGCACACUGACAGGCCAAUAUGACGACCUGAAGUCUGGCUGUGAUUGCAGUAUCAUGGCGGCACCUGUGGGGCCUGAAGCCAGAGGGGGACCAGCUGAGCACUUCACUGAGUAGAGUAAAUGAAAAGAGGGCAUCUAAAAACCUUGAGGUCCUCCGUCUGAAUUCUCGUUCGCUCGUUUCUUCUAACAACCCAUCUGAAAAGUUCACCACCAGGAAAGGUGAAGUCAAGGUCGUUUUAUAGUCAGGCCGACUGAUUUAAACGUCGCUUCUGUUUUUGACCUUGUGCCGUUGUUGUUUAUCAUUUUAACGAUCUCCUCCAACUGCCUCAACAGUUGUUGAUUUUAAAAUUCAGACUCACUUGUCUUGAAAGACUUUAAACCCGAAAUUCAACAAUUUUACCUGCUGAUUUAUGCUUGUGGCUUGCAGUUCAGGGCUACAUUGUUAACACCCAGAUCACAGGCAGAGCUGUGUGUGGUCACGUUGCAUUGUGGGUAAUGUAGACACCAGGUGUUGUGGAAUAAAAACGACAAUCCAAUCUUCGAUUGUGCUGCAUUGAUUUUUUUUCAGCUGUCCAUGAUGUGUCUGACAGUAUCGCAGGAAUUCAAUGCUAAAGUAGUGCAGAGUUACUCUAAGGUGACUAUUAAAUGCACGGAAAAGGACCAAAUGGUGUAAAAUUCAAACAACGCCAAGAGCCCGACGGCAUACAAACAGGAAGAAGGAUGAACUUGGACACGUUGAAGCUGAAGAGCUCACAGACGGCUCAUGUUAACGACCUCCCUUAACGUGAUCAGUCGGACAAACUGAAGGCUUCUACUCUAAAGAUUUUCUUUAAGUUAUGCACGGUGCAGAGUGACGCAGCUCGGAAAGAUGUGGACAGACUGCACUGAAGAAGGCAGCGAGGAUGAUCACCGCUUGGAAAACCUCAUCAGUUUAAGAGCGACAACAAGCAUCCAGGACAAAGUGACAUUAGUGUGAGA